rnacentral:pre_miRNA from 1 species
GUCGUCAGAGUGGCUGUGGUUCGUAAGGGUAACUUCGUAUCACAGCCAGCUUUGAUGAGUG